AGGCUCACUGCCUCUUCUGCUUCUGCGGCUCUGGGAGGGAUGAUGAGGGGGAGAGUCUGAGCUCUGGACAGGAGCCCAGGCAACUGGUCUGGAGACCUCUGGUGCUGCAGCUGGAAUGUUCAUAUCAGAAGGCUGUGCAGGAAAGUUUGAAUUCCACACAGUAUCCUACAGAAGUCAAAUUGUAAGUGUUCUUCAUAGACUGGCCGUGGACCACCUGAAUGAAGCUCGACCACAGUUUGGGAACACCUGCUGUUUCAGAACGGCGAUGAGACUUGGUUGUCUGGAGAGAGGAUGGAGAGAGGCAGAAACUUCCAACUUUUGCAUGGCUGGAAUGUAACCUCCUGUCUUGUGCAAACAAUGCAAUAAACUACAAUAUAAGAAACGAAGGAAGCAAUAAUACCACAGCACAAUUAGAAAUCUAUAGGAAUAUUCCAUGCAAUGAAUAUGCUGUCCUAUCUUCAACCACACAUCCGCAGACAUGCCGCAGACCAGUCCUCAGGCCACAGUUUGGGAACCCCUGGCUUAAAAGAACUCUGGAAACAUCAUGGCUGCAAUCUAGCUCUAGACAUGCGUAAUUUGUCCUGCGCAACAGUUAUUAUCCUGGAAAGAGAUGCACCGCUACAUUAAAAAAAAUGCCUCCAGCCAGUUCAGUAGGGGUCCAGGGGUGCCUGUGCCGGUGUGGUGGAAUGCCACAAUGAUCCUUUGAAUCUACGUUAGUUGUGGAUGGACACGUUUGCUUCCACACGUGGUUUCCCCUUGCUGGAUCAGGGUGUACACGUUAAUUUCACAUAACGAUGAGAGUUUUUGUGGAGAACUUUCCCCCCCCAUGGUGCUGCUGAGUGUAUAUUGCUACUACUGAUUGAAGAAAACAAAUUGCAGCCUUACUUUAUGCAAGAGUGACUUCUUACCCUCUCUAAAUUAUGAGCCCAACUUUACACCUUAGUCUUGGUGAAAUGACUGCAUUGUAAAACAGGUGUAUUUCCUUUGGGCAUUAUAUUUACAGAAUGUGAAAAGUCCAUGGUUAAUGUUCUUUAGGACUCAAUUUUUUGUUUUAGCUCUAGUCCAGUGCAACUGCUAGAUGUGUCUGACAUUAGCCUAUUACGACAGGAGCUGUUCUUUUACAGCAGCCAUGACUAAGUGUAUGUGACUUCCAUUUUUUAAGUAACUCUUUUUCAUCCCCAAAUUUAGUCAGAUCUUUCAGUGCAAAUUCUUUCCCCGCACCUGUAUGUGGUGAGCACCGGCCAGUAUUUGCAUUAGAGGAUGCAAGUAAGGGCCAGGUUCUUCGAAUUUAUGGAAACAACAUCUACUCAUACAUAUUGUUACUAAAACUUGAGCCUCUGACAGGUUGCUCUAGAGUAGAUCCUUUAGUGUAAACUACUCUUUAGACUGUAAGCCUAAACACACUUAUUAGGGAGUAAUAUCCAUAGGGCUUCAGUGGGACCUGCUCCUGAGUAAACCUGUUUGGGCUUGCCCUGUUAACAGUGUAUCAGAAGAUACUGCAAACAGCAAUCCCAAGACAAGUGGAUGGAUGAAUCUGCAAAAUGAGACGAAGCAAAAUUGGACCAGUUCCAUCAAUGCCAUGCACAUGAACUUUGUUGGACUUCUUUCAUGAGCUUGCCAAGGCGGCGAAAGGAAUGCCAUUGAGUUAUCUUGGUGUACAAAAUGUAAUUUGAUAAUUAAGUUA